CCUACGGGAGGCAGCAGGGAGGAAUAUUGGUCAAUGGGCGCGAGCCUGAACCAGCCAAGUAGCGUGAAGGAUGAAGGCCCUACGGGUUGUAAACGUCGUGUAUAAAGGAAGAAAGUGAGGCACGUGUGCCGUGUUGUAGGUACGUUAGGAAUAAGGAUCGGCUAACUCCGUGCCAGCAGCCGCGGUAAUACGGAGGAUCCGAGCGUUAUACGGAUUUAGUGGGUUUAAAGGGAGCGUAGAUGGGUUGUUAAGUCAGUGUUGAAAGUUUGCGGCUCAACCGGAAACUUGCAAUUGAUACGGGCAGUCUUGCGUACAGUUGCGGUCGGCGGUAUUCGUGUUGUAGCGG
rnacentral:rRNA from 1 species